GGGGAUGUAGCUCAAUUGGUAGAGCAUUUACACAGCACGUAGAAGGUAGGAGGAUCGAUACCUCCCAUCUCCA
rfam:Selaginella moellendorffii unplaced genomic scaffold SELMOscaffold_0, whole genome shotgun sequence.